UAAAAAUGGAAGGAGGAAAAGAGGAAGCCAGACAGCAGUAACAUUGUGAAAGAGAAAGAAAGAUACUAGGCUCAGAGUGGAUGGAUUUUCAUAAGAAGAAAAGCUUUCAACCGCUAACAGUAUAAAGCAAUGAACGUGGAUUCUUAUAUCAACAAUCCCACUGCGAGAUACCCAUGCUUUCCUCCCCAGAAUUCCCUUUUAGGCAAGAUUCCCUGGCAGUGUCUCUGUGUGACCAUUUUCUCAACCAAGGGUCUGUAGCUACAGUUCCAGGCUGGGCAACUGAAAAAAAAAACACUUACUAAAAGGGAAACCAUUUCCAAUAAAAGCAACAGGAUUUCUGUGGACUGGGCCAAGUCAAUUUCUGUUUUGUAUAACUGCUUGGGUUCCAACAGGUCUUUUAUAUAUAUAUUAUUUUCCUUAAUAGAUUGAAAGACUGCUUUUUACUGCUGAGCUAUAGCUAUACAAUCCAGUAAAAAUAGCCAAGUAUCUUUCUGUACAGGCUUGUAAUUUCCUUUUCUGUUAAGGUUAUUUUGGAAAUAAAAGAAAUUAAUGAAUCAAAGAAAACUGUGGGGUCUUCUUUUUCCUCAGUCCCUGCAACCUCAAUCAGUCCAAUAAUCUUAAAUCCAAUCAAUUUGAUAAACUUCAAUUUAACAAACUUUUACUAAACACUUAAUACCUGGGGCUUGAUUAAACAAAAAAUAUAGUGCUCUAUUUAAGCAUACAUUUUAAAACAGGACUAUUUCAGGUAAAAAAAAAAUCAAUUCAAUUAGACUAAAACAAAAAUAAAGUCUAAAAUGAGAGAAAAGCAACCCUAUAGAAUCAGAAUACUGAGUUUUUGCAGAAUCCGAGGCAGAGUUCAAUAGCAAAAGUCCAGGAAGGCCAAUACGUCACUUCAACUUAAAAGAAUAUUGCUCUGAAGAAUUGAAAUGCCAUCAGAAUUUUCACCUUUCUAUGUUUCUGUGCUAGACUUUUUCUCUUUUUGUAGACUAACGUCCUUUGCGUGGGAAAUAUGUAGAUAGAUAGACAGACAGACAGACAGAUAGUUUUGACACCUGCCCAGACACUGCUUCAGUUUGCCCAGGGAAGAGAUUGAUUGGCUUAGAGAUUGAUAAUGUACCUAUAAAAUUUAACUCAAAGGAAAGUGACUCCAGCAUGAACAAAGCAGCUCCUAUGAGGAAGUUAUGGUUGGCAGUAGGAAGAGACAAUUCUGUGAAGGAGGCAAAAUGUUGCUAAUAGGUUACUGAGAUAACUACAGCACAAAUAAAGACAUAAGUGUGGGCCAGGUGUGGUGGCUCACACCUGUAAUUCCAACACUGGGAGGCCAAGGCAGAAGGAUCAUUUGAGACCAGAAGUUGGAGACCCACCUGGACAACAUAGUGAGACUCCAUCUGUACAAAAAAUAAUAAAAAAAAAUAGCCUGGUAUGGUGGCACACACCUAUAGUCCCAGCUACUCUGGGAGCUUAAGAGGGAGGAUCCCUUGAGCCUAGGAGGUCAAGGCUGCAAUAAGCCAUGAUAGCAUCACUGCACUCCAGCGUGGGCAAUGGAGCAAGGUAGUUUCCAAAAAAAACAAAGAACAAAAGAGAUAAGUGUUCAUGAUAAGUUAAAAGAUUAGCUGUCCAAAUGAAACCAUAUUGGAAAUAUAUUUUUAAAUUAGGUCCAGUUGAAAAAAUUGCAAAAUUAAUCAAAUCAACAAUUAGGGAUGGCAUUCCCUUAGGGAGUCUGAUUUUGCCAUAAAAAUAUGUUUCAGGGUCCAGAUGAUAAUUACUAAUGUUAUACAUUUUCAAGGUAUCGGGGCUCAUUCGUUGGAUCCUUUCAAUACAUGCUGCAGAUGUGUUUACAAGGUACAUAAACAGAAUAAGUCCAGCUUGUUAAAGUGAUGCCUCUGGGAAUUUUAGAAAUAAGAAUAAUUUUAAUAAGAACAAUAACAAUAAUACUAAUCAAAAUAGCUAUCAUUUAUUGUCACUACAUGCCUGAACGUUUAUUUAUGCUAUUUCACACUUCUUUUAACAAUUGAAAGUCUUAUAUGGUAUAGUGUUAUCUACAGUUUGUAAGUGAGGUAAAUAAAAACCAAAGAGAUAAGGUAAAUUUCCACAAAUGACCUGAGAAUACAUACAGGAUUUAAAUUCACAUUAAUCAAUUCCAUGUCUUGAGUUCUUCCCACCAUAAAAUGCAGCUUCUCUCCACUAAACCUUUAAAUGGAAUUCAAAACUGAUCUAUCUCAAAAUCUCAUGAACCUAUUUUUUUUUCCAAAAGCAUAUUUCUUAGAAAUGUGUCUUGGGAUAAUAAGUUUGAUUGCAUGUGAAAGUAGAAUUAACCAAAAACAAAUCAUGGUUUAAUAGCUGAGUCACAUUAAAAGACUAAUGAAACCCACAGGAGAAAAUUCAGAGGGCAAUAAUAAUGGUAACACCAUAAACUUAGAAAAAUUUAAAAGGUAGUCCAGAAUAACUCAUUUUUAUAAAACAAUAUAAAAUGAUCAUUGUGUCCCACCCAAAGAGGAGGAGAACUACCAGUUUUAUGCUUUUUCAUCUUCAUCUAGCAACACAUACCAACAAGGGUAGCUUACUGUCCAGGAUGUCCUCAGAAUACCUCAGUUUUAUUUUUCAGUAAUAAAAUGUGCCUAUACAGUUGAUUUUAUAAAGCUAGGCAGUAGAGUACAACUGUUCUUUAAUUUGAAGCCAUGUGUAUUCCUUAUUGGCUGUGUGUCCCUGAGCAAGAAAAGAACAUUCUCUCACCCUUAUAUUUUCUAUCUAUAAAAUAAAUAUAGUAAUAUUAUUUUCCUCAUAGACAAGGUGGGAAGAUUAAGUAAGAUAGUAUAUGUGUAAGGCAUCAGAACUCGAAAUGUGGAGAGCGCAAAAUAAAUGUUGGCUCUGAUGAUUAUGAUGAGGAAUAAAGUCAUUGAUACCAACGUAUAACUAUUUAAAAUUUUGAUUUCCAUUUACCCCAAAUGGAAAAAAAAUACUAAAACAUCUUUAGGGCUUUCAUUCUUUUUAAUUUCCAUGUGCUUGUAUGUCUGCGUGAGUCUAUUUAAAUGAAGACUGUAAGUUGAACAGGCUAAUUAAAUGGGCUUGGUAAAAGUUUACUAUGUCGAAGGGAGGAAAAAAAGAAUACUUAAGGAACUAAAGAGAUUAAUUGAAGGGUUGAGGGAAGACUCAAGAUAACCAUAAUUAAGCUUGCUCAAGCAAAUGGUGUGUACUGGCAUUUUGUGGGAAAUCAGCAAUUGGGUUGAUUGAGCAGGAUUAGAUACAGAAGGUGUUAAAAGUCAGCAGAGAAGUUUUGAAUCAAUCUUUUAGUUAAUAGAAAGCCAUUGAGGUUUCCUAAGAAAGUAACUGCAAAAAUUUGUCUAAUAGCGAUAUUGAGCAUGAAUUUAAUUGAGGUAAAUCUGGAAGCAGAAAAGUGAAGGAGCUAUUUAGGUCAUAGAGUACAAUGGUAUAGACCAAGAUGUUAUGUUGCCAUUCCUUGUAUUCUCAUCAAUAAUUACAAUAAUAAUAAUAGUUUAAACAUGAAAGUGAUGUGAUCACCAAGUUACUUUCAAGUUCCCAAGAAUGCAAGACAAUGGUUUCUCCAGUGAAAUGUAAUCUUUAUUUCUAGAAGGAAUUCUCCCCUAAGUUACUGUAUCCAUUCUAAACUUGCCAACCCUGAUAAACAACUAGAAAAAAACCCUAACAAUUCUCUGUAAAGCUUUCAAUUAAAACAACAGAAAUUCCCAAUCAGCCUAAUACAUUCCUCAUCAAAACACCCUGGAUCAUUUUAAUUUUUCUGAACCAAAGAUCCUACUUCAGGAAAAUCUCCAAUACUGAAAAUCCAGACACCAUCUUUUGAUUAUAUGACAUAAUAUAAGAAAGCUCAGAAUGCAAUACACUAGAUAUAUGAAUAAAUAAAAUGCAGACAUGGAGAAUUUAAGGCCAGAGAAUUAAUAAAAUUACGUUCUUGAUUAAAUUAUCUCACUCUAGAUACUUUGAACUGUAGUUUACUGAUUUAACUACCUUCUUUAAUAGAUGCUGAAAGUCAGACACAACCAGUUUAAAUGAUUUGCAAUUUAAUUUCCAAAUCAGAACACCACAUGCUUCAUUCAGUGAUUCAUUCAAUCAACAUUUAUUCAGCACCUGCUAGAAUUCCAACAAUGCACUAUAAGAUGCUGAAAUUAUAUAUGUAAAUAAAACAUGGUUCUUGGACUUAUAAUUUAGUAGGCAGUAUAAAUACAUAACGAUGCAAUCAUAAUGUAAUGGUCAUUGUGAAUAUAGGGCUACACUGAGAUCCUAGGAAAACACAGAGAAGUACAUAGUGACCUUAGCAGAUAGGGAAGGUUGGUUCUCUUUCAAUAUUACUACACAUUAUCACAAGAGAAAUUUGCUACAGAUUAUAAUCAACCUCUGAAGGCUUCAAAAUAUUUAACCACUGUAAUAUUACCACUUUUUUUUUUAAGGUAGCAACUAAUAUGGUGAUCAUGUUCAGGGCCAAAUGGGAUAGGCAGAGGGUAAGGAGUCUACUUGUCACUUAGAUAGAUAUAAGCUAAAGUGAAAUUGUGAUCAAAUUUUGCCUUCCAAAUAAUUACAUGCAUGGGCCAAGCUUGAUUGCAUUUUUAUUCCUCAAGUUUAAGUUUAAAGAUGAACAGAAAGGGCAAGAGAAGUAAAUAUCUAUAGACUAAGUCUCAGGAUCACAUGUUGCUAUUUAGCGUCUCUUCUAAGAGCUACUGUUGUGAAUAAGUUUUGUUCUUUUACUCGACUCAAAUUUGUCAAUCACAAGGGAGUUUAUCCUAUUUUAUGUCGAAUUCGAUGACCAAAAUCUGGAAAUAUAAAUAACAGCUGGGAAGCUGAACACAAUUUUUGUUCCUUCUUUUUAUGAACUUCACCUUAGAGUAUAGGCUUACUAAUGUAAUAAUGUUUGUUAAUUAUGUAAAAGUGAAUGAUUGAGAAUCUAUUUAUUUAAGUUUAUGUGAUGAAUAGUGUGUUUUAUAAUUGCUUAGUCUAAAACAUAUGUUUUAAAUAAGCAUCUAACAUAGAGUAUCUUAUGAUAGCGUCUUGUUUAACUGCAGUCGUUAACUAAAUAGCAAUUAUGAAAAACAUAUUUAAUGAAUUAGAAUCAUCAUUUUCCAAUGACUAUCUACAAUGGUGGUUUAAGCUCAUGUAUCACUUUUCUUUUUGGAAAUAGUAGGGCAUAUUCAUACUACUUUCCUUAUUCUAUUACAUAUCUAAUAAAUCUCAUUUCAGAAAAUUUCUUCCACCACAAUUCAAAAUUAAAUAAAUGGCCGAAUCUGAGAAGUCGCCUUUUGGAGACAGACAUACCCAAUCCCUGAAACUCGACCUGAGUUCUGUUUAUAGCAGAGAUGUCAAUUCUAUUUCGUGACAUUUCUAAUUGCUUUUCUACCAUCAGAGACCAAACUCCUGAAGGACACAGUCUACAGUUUGUGUUAUCUUUGUGCUUUUCAUGGAACUUAGAACAGUGCUUCAGAGAGGGAUUCCUGUGUGUUUGCUGCAAUGAAUAUCUGCCGUUUCCUAGUGUCAUACCUGCUAUCUAGACAGGUUAUUCUACAUAGACAUUUGAGCAAAAUAUAAAAAGAUAAGCAGCCAGCAUUAUCUGGUCUAAGUAGACAAACAAAAUGGGGAAUAGGAUUGGAUGAUUUGGAUGUACCUUUAUUGAAUGUGUACAUUAAGUCAUGGCCUUUGGUAGUUUAUAUAUAUGUAUAUGUGUGUGUGUAUAUAUAUAUGUGUGUGUGUAUGCAUAUGUAAGUAUGUGUGUGUAUACUUGGAGAGAGAGAAACUCAUUUAUGUCACAAAAUGACCAUGUGGCAGAAAAUUGUACAGAUGAUCAAACCUGAACUUAGGAAGGUUGUCAUCUGACAAAGUGUACAAUGUGUACCAGCUACAAGCCUAAGUUUAUCAGAUUAUUUUUUUUUUAGUGAUUAGAGAAAAAGUAUAAUGGUUUUAGAGUCAAGAGACAAUAAAUCGAAAACUGGUCCAAUGGAUUUAAAGUGGGAGAGUCGUAUAUGUUUCAUGUUAUAAAGUUACAAUAUUGGCUGCUGUGUAAAUAGUAAAUAGUGUAGGAGAGAGAAAAGAAUAUUAGAGAAAUGGUAAAGCAGAAUUCUAGAUAGUUCUCCAUGACCUCUACCUCCGGCCAUUAAGUACCAUGAUUAUGUUUUUACAUGGCAAUAUAGAUUUUCCACUUGUAAUUGACUUUACUACUAUAUUCUCAUUAAAUUAGGGACAGUUUCUAUCUGGGAGGAACUAAUUUAUUCACAUGAGCCCUUUAAAAAGACAUUUCUCUAUGGUUCCUCACAAAAAUGCAGUCACAGGAUGCAAAGUUAGUGAAGGAUUUAGGUGACUUGUUGAAUUAAAGAUGGAGGUGACAGCUGGGCGUCUCACACCUAUAAACCCAGCACUUUGGGAGGCCAAGGCAGGAGGAUCACUUGAGCCCAGGAGUUCAAGACCAGCCUGGGCAAUAUGGCGAAACCCUGUCUCCACCAAAAAUACAAAAAAUUUGCCAGGUGGGUUGGCCCGUGCUGGGGCAGGAGGAUUACUUGAGCUCAGUAGGUAGAGGCUUCAGCCAGCUGAAAAUGGCACAACUGCACUCCAGCCUGGACAACAGAGUGAGACCCUGUCUCAAAAAAAAAAAAAAAAAAAGGAGGGGACCAUUCGGAAGGAAUACAAAUAGGCCUCUAGAACUGAGAGUGCCUUUAUCCAGCUAAGAUGGAGGGGACGGCCAGACGUGGUGGCUCACGCCUGCAAUCCCAGCACUUUGGGAGGUUGAGGCAGGAGGAUCACUUGAGCCCAGCAGGUAGAGGCUUCAGUGAGCUGAGGUCAUUCCGCUACACUCCAGCCUGGACAAGUGUGAGAUCCUGUCUCAAAAAUAAAUAAAUAAAUAAAUAAAUAAAGGAGGGGACCAUUUCAGAGGGAAUACAAGUAAGUCUCUAAAAUUCAGAGUGGCUUUCUCCAGCUAACAGUCACUCCUACGCCACAUCAAACUUAAUUAUGCCAACAACCUCAAUGAGGUUUAAAGUGGAUUCUUCCCCAAAGCCUCCAGGUAAGAGCACAGCUUGACUGACACCUUAGUUUCUGCCUUUGAGACUCAGCAAAGAAACCAGUUAAGUCGGCCUGUACUUCUGACCUACAGAAUUAUGAGAUAAUAAGUGGCUGUUGUUUUAAACCACUAAAUUUGUGGCAAUUUGUAACAGCAUCAAUAGAAAAUGAAGCAGAAAACAAGGGAGAAGACCAAUUACUGUCAAUUACAGUAAUCAUGGCAAAAUAGAAUGGUAGUUUAAACUAGAAAUAUGACAGCAGCACUGAAGAGCUACUUGCAGAGGAAAAACAGAAGCAGAAAAGAGUCCUUGUCCUCAGGGCAGUCACAAUCUAUCAUAUCAGUGUAUAAGUGUCUCGAUUUCAGGGACUCUAUCCCUAUAUUCCCUAGCAUGAAUAGUGGUGACUUGUUGGAUUAAAGAUGGAGGUGACGGCUGGUUGUCUCACACCUAUAUCCCAGCACUUUGGGCGUCUCACACCUGUAAACCCAGCACUUUAUUUCAAUGUUAGAUAACAUUUCCUAGUUUGAAAUAAAUUAUCUGUUCUUCCUUUUCAUAGAGUUUACUUUCACCAACUCCUUUUCCCUAAAAUUAACCAAUCUCUCCUAUGCCCUACCUUACUAUCAUUAUCUUAUACUUUAUUGAUACCAUAUUGUGGUGCUCUAAUUUUUUUACAGGAUUCCUUUCUUGUUUUACGUAUACAAGAUUUCUUUUAAAGGAUCAACAUUCCAGAGCCCUGCUCUAUAUUUACUGCACACAGUUUAGCCCUUGACAGCAUUACUUGCUCAACUAUUAUGUAUUGAAUAAACAGAAGAGAAAUAGCCACAUCCUCUCAGGACCUCCCUGUGAGAUGUUAAUCUUCCAUCCCUUCAUACAUGCUAUUGAAAAUGUGUAAAACAAUAUAUAGAAAAUUAUUUUUCUCAUAGUUUAUAAGAUCAUAAAAUAUUUAGAGACAAAGGGACAUUUGUAUAUGGAAAUUAUAUAUUUAGAAUUAUUUUCUUCCUUUUUGUUUAAAUAUUUAACAUUGUGUAGAAAAAGCUAGAGUAAAUUGUUUAGUCACAUAUAAAUGGAUGAGAUUAUUUUUACUACAAUAAUAAAGUAAAUCCUUCUAUAACUCAACUCUGUAGCACUCAAGGUAUUAUCUCUAUGCUUGAAAACUAUGCACUGCUUAAAUAAUUAAAGCUUCUACAAACAUUAUUUCCUUCACACUUAGGAGAACUGGAAUAAACAAUUCACUUAGAAAUCAGAUCUGCAAGGAAUUUAUUACUAUUAUUUUUAAAUGAAUUUUAAGUAAGUGGAGACUCAAAGCUAUUGAUACUGUACAUGUUCAUUAACAAACUACUGCUUUCUAAGUAUAAUAUGCAUAAUGUAGGCUUAAAUUUUGUGAAUUAAGAAGGUUUAUAAGAAAUUUUUAUUUUUGAAUCAAAUGUUUUAAAUAAUCAAGGCUAAUAUUUACUGUGUAUUCAUUAAUAAGCAAAAACUUCUUACAUACAUUAUUCCAUGUAUGUUUUCAUUAAUAAGAAUGUGAGUUUAAAAUAAUGUAAUUAAAUUAUAAGAAAAAUUAGACCAGAUGUUUUGGAGAGAUUUCUUCCUUUUGCCUCUCCCACUAUGUUUUGUUUAAUUGAGGUACAUCUUACAUACAAUAAGAAAGCAGAUUUUAAGGCUUACAGAUCAUAGGGUGGGUAGGUCUCGUUAAACUCUACACGAAACUGCCAAGCAUCUUCUUAAAGUGAUCAUACAAUUUUACAGUCCUACCAUGAAAGUAUGAGAAUUGAAGUUGUUCAUGGUAAUUUGGCAUUUUCAAUAUUUUAAGUUAACUCUUUCUAGUCAGCUCAAAAUAGGGACAUCUUACCAUCCAUGUCCCUGAAGAUAAUGAUGCUAAAACAUUUUAAUAAGUUUAUUGGCC
rnacentral:lncRNA from 10 species